rnacentral:lncRNA from 10 species
CGGAGCCCGUCGCUCCAACCGUUGCAGCUCCACGCUCCAGCCCAACCGCGGCUCUGAAGGAUUGACCCGCCCUGGCGUGCCCUGCUCUCCACUUUGGCUUUGGCCAAACUUUUCGGUCAGAACCCGAACCUAAAGAACUUACUAUGGGCCGAGGGGGUUCUAACUGUCAGCGGCCCCAGGAGCCUGGCCCAGGGUCACAGUUUUCCCCUGGGACUUCACCUAGGUUGCUAUGAUUACUCUUGCCCCAUUGCCCAGGAGGCGCCAAGCCAACCCCUGAUGAGUGUAGUCUGCAGAGAAGCCAGCAGGAUCAGGACAAACCAGUUCCACAGCAGGAGAGAAUCUGGUCGGGUCAACAAAGAACUUCCAGCCCUGAGGAUGUCUAUGCAGUCUCAAGAGCAGUUUCUUAAAUUGCGGGCCUCAAAUCUGCAGCUAAGAAUCACCUGGGAGAGUUUAUUAAAAAUGGAGGCCCUACAUUAGAAUAAGUCAAAAGCUAAGGAACUGACUUUGGGGAGCUUGUCUUUUAACACUUCCUAGCUGAUGGAGUUUCACUCUUGUUGCCCAAGCUGAAGUGCAAUGAUGCGAUCUCGGCUUACUGCAACCUCUGCCUCUCGGGUUCAAGAUAUUCUUCUGCCUCAGCCUCCAGAGUAGCUGGGAUUAGGUGCACCACCACACCAAGUUAGUUUUGUAUUUGUUUGUUUGUUUUUGAGACGGAGUUUUGCUCUUGUUGCCCAGGCUGGAGUGCAAUGGCACAAUCUCCGCUCACUACAACCUCUGCCUCCCGGGUUCAAGAGAUUCUCCUGCCUCAGCCUCCCAAGUAGCUGGGAUUACAGGCAUGCAGCACCACGCCCAGCUAAUUUUGUGUUUUUAGUAGAGACCGGGUUUCUCCAUGUUGGUCAGGCUGGUCUCAAACUCCCAACCUCAGGUGAUCCGCCCGCCUCCGCCUCCCAAAGUUCUGGGAUUACAAGCGUGAGCCACGGCGCCCAGCCGACUCUUUCUUUCAUGAAAGAUUUCUCUGUAGGAUGUAAUGCUGUUUCAUAGCAUUUUACCCACAAUAGAACUUCUUUCAAACUUGGCAUCAGUCCUCUCAAGCCCCGCCGCUGCUGUAUCCUCUAAGUUUAUGGAAUAUUCUAAAUUCUUUUUUGUCAUUUCAAUAAUGAUUACAGUGUCUUCACC